GUUUCAUCCAUACGCCACUUCUGACGCAAAUCAUACGCAAAGUUUUAUAAAUGAGGCCCCAGAUCAUCACUAUGCAUAAUGCAUAACCCUGUGAACCAAGGCCAAACAGGAUCCUCCUGUUCAAAAAUGAAUGCUAUCCCACCCUGUAGUCAUUAAUGGAGGAAAUGAAAAAAUGCUUUAUUACUUGAUAUGUAAAGAAUGAAAAAAUAAAUAAAUAAAAGGUGAUGUUUGCUGUUAAUGUUAAAAGUGUUUUAGAUUAAUUUCUUUUAGUAAUAAAUGUUCUGAUAACACUAUAACUUGCCUGUGAUCAUAUUUCUGCUUAACUUGUUUCAGGAUUCUUCAUUUUCUUCAUUAAUUCAACAAAAUGACUGCAGGGACUAAAGGUGUAAGACAAGCAGGUGGUUUAGGAUGUCAUCUUAAAGUAACAUCAGAUUUGCCAUGAUGGAAAUCCAUGGUGGUGUGCUUCCUGAAAAUGGGGAAACUUCUGCUUUCAGUGUGAGAUAUCAUGGUGCGGUUGGAGCCCGAGAAGCCUCCCUCAGCAGAAAGGAAGACCCGGGCCAGGAGGCGGGAGUUUCUGUGAGGGUCCUGGGAGGAGCGAGAAUAGAUCCACAAAGAUGACUGGAGGACUUGAAUGCUCUUGCCUCGUUCUUGUAGAAACUGAAAGGUGCAGCUUCUCCAGAAGUUGCUGUUUGGCGAAUUCUAUCAUCAUCUUCUCCUCUGCAUCUCUCUCCAUCGCUGGCAAGCCGCAGGACGGACAGCCCGGGGACCCCGU